rnacentral:rRNA from 1 species
AAUCAACGCUGGCGGCGUGCCUAACACAUGCAAGUCGAACGCGAAAGGGGGCCUUCGGGCCCCCGGUAGAGUGGCGCACGGGUGAGUAACACGUGGGUAAUUUGCCUUUGGGUGGGGAAUAACACCUCGAAAGAGGUGCUAAUACCGCAUAACGCAGCGGCACCGCAUGGUGACAGUUGUUAAAGCGGGGGAUCGCAAGACCUCGCGCCUGAAGAGAAGCCCGCGCCCGAUUAGCUAGNGGUGAGGUAAUGGCUCACCAAGGCUGCGAUCGGUAGCCGGCCUGAGAGGGCGGACGGCCACACUGGCACUGAGAUACGGGCCAGACUCCUACGGGAGGCAGCAGUGGGGAAUUUUGGGNAAUGGGCGAAAGCCUGACCCAGCAACGCCGCGUGAAGGACGAAAUCCC